UACGGGGGGAGCAAGCGUUGUUCGGAUUUACUGGGCGUAAAGGGCGCGUAGGCGGUAGCACAAGUCAGUUGUGAAAUCUCCGGGCUUAACUCGGAAAGGUCAACUGAUACUGUGUGACUAGAGUGCAGAAGGGGCAACUGGAAUUCUCGGUGUAGCGGUGAAAUGCGUAGAUAUCGUAAGGAAGACCAGUGGCGAAGGCGGGUCUCUGGACAGUUCCUGACGCUGAGACGCGAAAGCGUGGGGAGCGAACCGG
rnacentral:rRNA from 1 species